rnacentral:rRNA from 1 species
AGAGUUUGAUCCUGGCUCAGGACGAACGCUGGCGGCAGGCCUAACACAUGCAAGUCGAACGAGAAGCCAUCCUUCGGGAUGGUGGGCAGUGGCGAACGGGUGAGUAACGCGUGGGAACCUGCCCUUCGGUACGGGACAACCACGGGAAACUGUGGCUAAUACCGUAUAUUCCCCAAGGGGGAAAGAUUUAUCGCCGAGGGAUGGGCCCGCGUCCGAUUAGCUAGUUGGUGAGGUAACGGCUCACCAAGGCUCCGAUCGGUCGCUGGUCUGAGAGGAUGAUCAGCCACACUGGGACUGAGAUACGGCCCAGACUCCUACGGGAGGCAGCAGUGGGGAAUAUUGGACAAUGGGGGCAACCCUGAUCCAGCCAUGCCGCGUGAGUGAAGAAGGCCUUAGGGUUGUAAAGCUCUUUCAGCGAGGAAGAUAAUGACGGUACUCGCAAAAGAAGCCCCGGCUAACUCCGUGCCAGCAGCCGCGGUAAUACGGAGGGGGCUAGCGUUGUUCGGAAUUACUGGGCGUAAAGCGCGCGUAGGCGGUUUGCUAAGUUGGGCGUGAAAGCCCGGGGCUCAACCCCGGAACUGCGUUCAAAACUGGUAAACUAAAGGCCGGGAGAGGAGAGCGGAAUUCCCAGUGUAGAGGUGAAAUUCGU